GGAAGUGUGGCUGAGUCCGGUUUAAGGCGCAUCACUGCUAAUGAUGUGGUUUCGUAAAGAGGCCCGCAGGUUCGAAUCCUGUCACUUCCGC
rnacentral:tRNA from 2 species